GAAAGCUGGAGACGGACGGAGGUGAUUGUUUGCAGCAAGCAUCCGAGAGAAAAGCAGACGAGCAGCAAAGCAGCCAUAGCAAGUCCAAAGCCAGAAGACCUUCUGAAGGCUCAGGUGGAAGAUCUGAAGAAACAACUCAAGGCCAAGAGCAGGAUUAUUCAAAGUCUGAAAGAGGAAAUUAACAGUCCUUUGUUCCAGCGCGCACAAAAGAGGAAUUGAGGAGAAGUAUCUGAUGGUUCAGAUCAAUGAGAGAAAAGCAGAGAUUGACCUCCCAGAUGAAACACACACAGCAUCUGCCAAAACAGACUAGAUGUCCCGCUGUGUGCUUGAGAUGUCAGAAGGAACAUCAGACGUAAAAGACAGCAGCCUUCAGAGAGACCUACAAAACCUUCAUCAGCCGAGGCCAAAUUAACCAACCGGCUCUCUACUGCCCUGCAAACAAAGCUGGAUACACAAACAAAAGACUGAUGAAUAAAACAGGUGAGUUUACAGCUGAAGGUUGUGAACCAUGAAGAAGAUUGCCCAGGAUGGACAGCAGGUGGGGUGUAAAGGAUGUGAAUUCAAGAUACGCCAUAUUUAAACCCUGGGAAAGAGGUGAGGUCAGGUAUGUAUUUGUUUUAAUAAGAAGGUGUGUGCUUUUGACAGAAGUGGUUUGUAUGGUUUAGUCAGAAUUAAUUUAGAGAUCUAACAUCUAAAGCUACAGUUUUAUAUUUUAAAAGUUAAAAAAAUAACUAAAUCAACCUCUCUGUUAGAAACAUUGAUGAAAAAAUGGUCCCUAGCUGUCACUGGGGUGGUACCCUUUUAAAAAACUACACCUUUAAGGUACUAAUGUGAACUCUUCGGGGCGGUUUCCCGGACCAGGAUUAGCUUAAUCCAGGACUAGGCCUUAGUUUAAUUAGGAAAUAUAACUAGUUUUAACAAACAUGCCUUACAAAAAACAUUACCUGUGUGCAUUUUGAGGUAAAACAAAGGGCCCUGAUGUAUUUUAAGAUAUGUACGUGCAAGUUGUUUUCAGUUUGGAGAGCUCUUAAAAGUGUUUAAGUCUAGGACUAGUCUAAUCCCUGUCCGGGAAACCGCCACAAUAUGUCCAAAGGUACAUAUUAGUACCAAAUGUUUACAUAUCUGUACGUAAAUUGUACAUAUUAGGACCUUUGUAAAGGUACUGUCCCUGUGAAAGCUUGGGAUCAUUUUUGAUAUUCUAUUUUUUGACAGUGCUGACCAACAAAUGGUUAUUUUUAAGAUUUAAUCUGUUACAAAUAACUUCUUAUCGUAACAACUGCUUGCACUUCAUACAGUGUGGAAAGUCUGUGAUGGGAAAAUGUGAAUGUGUUUUAGCAGACAUUUAGAUAAAAGACUGUGUAUGCAUUACUCGAGGGUUUUUACAAAGAUGCUCAGAGUUAUGUAUUGUGCUUUAGGUCUUGUGUGUAUGUGUGUGUGCGUGUUUAGAGUAGAAGGUGUGUGUCCUCCCUGACCCCUUCCACAGUUCUACCGCCACCCAUAUGUUUACUGACUCAUGAAAAAUUCAUGAGUGUGUGUUUGGGAGCAGCAGAAUAAUUUUCAAUAUUUAGCCAGGCUAUGAAUACAGAUGAUGUUGAACUUUGGUGUAUACGCGAAGGUGUCCGGGCAUGCGUGUGUGUAGCUGGUUUGGCGGCGGGCUGAGGUUAGCCGGCUUAAUGAGGGGGUGAGGAGGCUGCAGGUCCACGCGAGCAUGUGCCGAGUGAGACGUAUCUCCAAGGAGACGUGUGAUUGGCCCGGGAGGGGCGAGGCAGACUGAGGCUCCGCGGGCCAAUCGCAACUAAUGCCGCAGCAGGUUAGCAGCUGCUGUCAAUCAAACGCAACAAAUACAUGUAUAAGUAAAUGUAGAGUAAUUGAAGCGAAUGAAUAAAGCCAAUAAACAUCUUAAAGCUUCAGGCUGAUAGCACCAAACAGCUGUAGAAGGAGAGAUAUAACAGUAAGGCUGUAGUGGAAUCAGAAAAUCCUGUUACGUCGGAGAUGUGGCUUACAUGCGCUUACAUGUUUAUCCUUGCUGUGCAUCCCGCUAUUGUCCCUGGAAAAAGGCGAAAUCAACAAAAUUGUAACUGGACUUCAAGAGUUAAUACUGUGCAGGUGUUUUGCAAGAUUAAUUGGGUUACACUGACUUUCUCGCAACGUGAAAUAGAGCCCAAAUAUAGCUCUAUUGUUCAUUUGUUUAUUUAUUACUUACUAUUUGCAUUUUAAAUAAAUCUAGCAUAUGCUCAGCUGAUAUUACACUGCAGGUGUUUUGUUUAGACGGUUUGAAAACAUGCUCAAAUGAAUAAAGCUUAGUUUUUAUAGCUGCAAUCCUUUAACAUACUUUUUAAGGUCACAUGUUUGUCAGGCCCGACCCUGAAUCACACUGUCAGAAAUUAUUCCAAGCUGUCACUGUGGCAGUACUCUUUAAAAAGGUCCCAGGUACCAUUUAGGUACAGAUUUGUAUACCAAUAUGUACCUUUGAGAUACUUAUAUGAAAUUUCUGGUACCUAUACCUAUUUCUAAGGUACAAAUAUGACCUCUUUUUACUUUUUAAGGUCAGAAAUUAUCCCAAGCAUUCACUGUGGCAGUACCGUUUAAAAAGGUCCCACGUACCAUUUAGGUACAAAUUUGUAUAUCAGUAUGCACCUUUGCGAUACUCAAAUAAAAUUUCUGGUACCAAUACUUUUGAUGUACAAAUAUGACCUCUUUUUACUUUUAAGGUCACAUAUUUGUCAUUCCCCGACCCUGAAUCACACUGUCAGAAAUUUUCCCAAGCUGUCACUCUGGUAGUACCAUUUAAAAAGGUCCCAGGUACCAUUUAGGUACAGAUUUUUAUACCAAUAUGUACCUUUGCGAUACUUAUAUGAAAUUCCUGGCAUUGAAUACCUACUUCUGAGGUACAAAUAUGACCUCUUUUUACUUUUUAAGGUCACAUAUUUGUCAUUCCCCGACCCUGAAUCACACUGUCAGAAAUUAUCCCAAGCAGUCAAUCUGGCAGUACUCUUUAAAAAGGCUCCAUGUACCAUUUAGGUACAGAUUUGUAUACCAAUAUGUACAUUUGAGAUACUUAUAUGAAAUUUCUGGUACCAGUGCGUACUUCUGAGAUACAAUUAUGACCUUUUUAGGUACAAAUGUGUACUUUUUAAAAGGGUUAUGCUUUUCUAUAGAUAAAAGCCUCAUUGCAGAUUAUAAUCACGUUGGGGAAUACAACAAUUUUAGCUUCAUUAAUGUGUGAUUUGGUGUUGUAAAAGAUAAAAUAGACCAGCAAUCUGACAUACUGUAGUGUGUUCAAGGUCGCAUGAGGUGUUGUUUUUUGUUAACAUGUCAUUGAAAGUGCAGAUAUGACCACAGGUUUUACAUUACAGUCAUAAGAGCAGCAUAUCAAAGACAUUUUAUCAAAUAAAAUGAAAGAAAGUCUCUUUAAAGCCGUAAAACUGUAAUCAGAUUCUGGGGUUACAAAACAGGUCUUUCAUACAGAUUAGCUGGAAUGUGUAUUCAUCAAAUCGAAAUUAGUAAGCAAAUAAUGUUUCAGAGUAUUUGAUCUCUAUGAUUGGGUUAGACAUAAAUAAGCUUUAAUUGUGCUUACGUCUACGAGGGCUUUUAACAUUCAUUUGAGGUCAUAGGAAACAUGAUGCCAUUUCCCAUAAACCUUGAACUUAACAACAGCAAUGCGGUAAACUGAGCCAGUGUGAAUAUUAAACUCCCUUCGCUUCAAUCUCAUAGCAAUAUUGGUACCAAAGAGUGCAUAUUAAUACCUCAAAGAUACAUAUUUUUAUCAAAUGUAUACACAUCUGUACCUAAAUUACUGUAUGAGGGGUACUACCCCAGGACUAGGGACAUUUUUUUCCGACAGUGUAUGGUCAGUAUGGUCUGUAAAUUAUAAUAUUUCCUAUAGCUUUAUUCCUGAAUUUCUGGAAGAAAUUAUUCGUUGAUUUUUCUUUGCAUGCUUAGUAGGUUUAGGGUAAGAUUUGGAUUCGGGAAGGUGCUCCAUAUGAAAGGAAUUUCAAAUGAUGAACGAGGGUUUAUGACAUUAGUAUUAUUGCUGUGUUCAGAUGGCAUGUUGGCUCUUUGAAAUGUCGCAUGCUAAAUUCAUUACAGGGGUCGAUCUAAGUGCAUGGUCGUAUUUUACAACUUUUAAUGACCCCGUCUCAGACUAAACCUUUACUAUGGUUCUUGCAUGCUACAUCACAAUGCUCAUCAUAGCAACAUCCAAAGACUAGUUACUACAGUUUUUGAUGCCACAGUAAAACCAGUAAAUUUUCAUUAGGGACCUGGCUAGCUCGGCACGGCAAACCGCCACUGACAUCAGAAAGAGGAAAUUAAAGAAAAUGACUUACAGAGAAAAAAUCAAAAGCUAUUAAAACUGUUUAAAUGAAAUUCUUAUGACUAGGGUUUUAAUAUAGUAAAAAAAUAGUCUUUGUAACUAUGGCAAUUUGGCAGAGAAUGUGGUCACCAUGCAAGACUUUAUUGCUUUUUAGAAACCUUGGAAAUUAUUUUCAAUCAUUUGUAUGUGGUGUUUUUUAGUAAUGUUGUGUCCAGGAAGAAGAUGGAAGCAUUUUUAAGAGUUGAAAUCUUUAAUAAAUAAACUGAAUUGAACAUGCUGAAAAAACAAUGGACCAGCUAACAGAAAGCUGAGAGCAACCGUAGACAAUCUGAAGAGCCGAAGAAGAAAAAUAUGUUAGUAUUAGAAGGAAAAAGUAGGCAGUCCCCAAGAAAUGUUUUGUAAUCAAACCCAAAAAUCUGUAUGUAACCUUUCUCUGUCCCCGAUUUUUGCAAACUCUGCAAAGCAUGCUUUAGAUAUAUUUGUAUAUUUCCAUGCAUUAUUAUUUUCUUCAGGGUGAUGUGUCCAUUUGUUUGGUCUCACGAGUAAUAUUUCAUGUUUUAAAGAAAAGUCUGUUUAUUCGGAGCAUACACAAAAUGUACUAAUAUCUUCCAGCAUUAUCCUUGCCAAGCAAUUUUGUGCCUGCGUCAGGGUUCAUUAAUACUGGUUAGCCGAAGUUGCCCUGUUCAGGGCAUCCUGGGGUGACAAAUGAAUCAGGCACCCCUGAUGUCACUUUGGUUUUGCAAUGUCUGGCAACAAAAUGAAUCUUUUAUAUUGCAGAAAGAUUUAAUUUGUAUGAGCUAAACUGCAUCCUACAAGGUCAGACUGGCGGAAUAUAAUUUUAAUCAAAUCAAAUUUAAUUUGUGUUUUAUAAAAGAGUUACCGAUUUGAAGAAUGACUGCAUUUUAUACUUUGUUACAUUCAGGGACUGAUGUUUUCUUCUGCUGUGUUGUAAAAUAUGUUUUUAAGAAGACAAAUGUUGCAUCUUCAUGCAAAACUCCUGAGUUUGUCUUUAUGUAGUGAUAUCUGUUUUGGAGAGGUUUGUUUGCUGAUUUGAAUAUAUAAAUGCUUCACUCACAAAAUGUUCUUCUGCGUUUGUCCAUAUAUAUAGUGUGGUCCAAAAGUCAUAGACCACAUUAAAAAAUCGUGAUUUGAUGUUGAUGUCUUUCAAAAGGUGACUUUUAUUCUAAAAGUGAAUGUCUUAGUCUCUUAUUACAUAAGGAAAUUUGAGAAGAUUAACAUGUUGUCCUUUUAAACAAAAUGUCUUUUUAACCCUCCAUUAAAGAAGAUGCUCUUUGUAACAUCCUCAGAUCAUGCGGGUACACACAUGGAUCAUCAGGUUUUGCACAAACAGUUGGAGAACAUGCUGCUAUUAAAAUAAAUAAACACAACAAAUAUAAAGACAUUCGAUGCAAUAUGGAGAAAAUAAUGUACAAUUUAUGAAACAGCCCUUAUUAUUUGACUGAUGAUUAAAAUGUAUAAAUCAUAAAAUUGUCAAAUUUCUUAUUGUCUUUAAUUACUUAUAUUUCCAAACUUCUAAGAAAAACUUUUAUUUGGUGAUUUAAGAUACAAUUUUAAUUUUUAUUCACAGAUGAGGCAGAUGAGGAAGAGUAAGAUAUACACGUUCAUGAUAUGUACACUAUACUUUAAACCUUAUAUGUUCUAGGUCAAUUUGAGCCGUUUUGAUUUUUAAGCUGUCUGACAAAAACGGUUAACCUGUGUUUUAUUCUUGAAAUUUUGUGACUUUCUCAUUUACAGCCAUGAACGUGCAUUGAAAGUUAGGAUACGCUGAUCUGUUUUAAAGUGUAUGCAAAUAAUUUUGUAAUAAUUUGAGGUUCGCUGUACUGU